UUUGUAGAAGAGAGUUUUCUUAAACCAUCUGGGUCCCAGGGACGGAAUUCAGGUCUCAGGUGUGGCGGCACGUGCCUUUACUUGGUGAGCUAUCUUAAUGGCUCGUGUAAAUUCAUCCAUGUUUCUGUUUCUCUCCCUCCUUCCCUUUCUCCCUCUCCUUCCCUUCCUCCCCUCUCCCCCUCCCACCUCCCCGUCCUUGGCCUAGCACUCAUAAGAUCUGCCUUCAGAGUGCUAGGCAUGCACUACCACACGCCUCUACCACACACUGUUGCUAUGUUGUCCUCGAACUCCUCCUCCCUCAGCCUCUUGAGUUAAAGAUGUGCUUCACCACACCUGGCCUCCUCCCAAAUUUUUUAAGUUAGAGUCCCUGCUUGGAAUUCUAAUCAGCUGCUCUUCUUUCCCCUUGAGAGCUCAUCCACAGGUGGCCGAGGCCAGCGGCUUCUUAGAGUGAGGUCCAGUGUUCUUGAAACAGGGACUGGAGAGCCACCCGUGCGUGCAGCCAGAAGGUUGUAGCCUGGCUGCUGUUGCUCUGCACCCCACCCCACCCCCCAAACUCUGAAGUUCCUGAGAGCCCUGAAGGAGAAGGUUCAUCUUGUACUCAGAGCCCCUGGCUAUACCAGGUGUGUCACUGAGCCGUCCCUGCCCUCCUGGUUGUGCCCUCAGUUUUGCACUUUACCUUUGUACUUAGGCAUCUGAGCACAUAGUUCCUCUUGGGUGCAAAGAUAACUGAGCACAACCCUCGAGUGCACUUAGCGUCCCUGAAGUGGGUGUGGGCUUAGGAAUGGGCCAGCGUGAUCAUUCGUGGUGUAGUGCCCAAGAUGUAUGCAGUGUGAUGCCAAGUUUGACUUCAUCACCAGAAAGCAUCACUGCCGCCGCUGUGGGAAGUGCUUCUGCGACAGGUGCUGCAGCCAGAAGGUGCCACUUCGGCGCAUGUGCUUCGUGGACCCAGUGCGCCAGUGUGCUGACUGUGCCCUGGUGUCCCACCGAGAGGCGGAGUUUUAUGACAAGCAGCUGAAGGUGCUCCUAAGUGGAGCUACCUUCCUUGUUACUUUUGGGGACUCAGAGAAGCCCGAGACCAUGGUUUGUCGUCUUUCCAACAACCAGAGGUGCUUGGUUCUGGAUGGGGACAGUCAUCGUGAAAUCGAGAUUGCACAUGUCUGUACUGUUCAGAUUCUCACAGAAGGCUUCACUCCUGGAGUAGAAAAAGACAUUCACACUUAUACCAGCCUCCUGGGGAGCCUGCUUGCCUCUGAAGGUCAGCUUCCAUCCUCCCUGGGUCCCUCCUCCCAGCAUGCUGUGAUGUCUGUCUCUCCUCUGGCCCCUUUGCUUCUAUCUCUUGGGGUGGAUUCUCAAACUUGGGGUCACUUCUUUUUGAUUAAGAGAGAUUCUAGGUUCAGCCUAAGAGCCUAUAAAGCCCAAGUCAAAGUGUCCUGAGAGAACAAAGAAGCUUGCUCAGUUCUUUCCCAGGGAGAAGUUAUGCAGGAGUUGACAGCUUCUAUCAGUAUCGGCCAAGUGUGUGGGUUCUCCUUUGCCGAUUGAGCACCAGGCAUAUGCAGUGGGCGGCAACUUUCAUCACUGUACCCAGUAGCUUACCUCACUCAGACCCUGGCCUCCAGGGUCCCUGCCUCUCACUCAGCUCCUCCAGCUUAGUCUCAGAGGCCCAGCAAUGGAACGCCACAGGGAGGUACGUGAGGUGCACGGAGCAUUAAGCCGGUUGAAGAUCUCCUAUGCUAGAUGCUCACUCCUUGGCCUCCACUAGGACACCCUCGCCCCCACCCUCCCCCAGGGGUGUCAAGAGUAUCUGCGUGUGUACCAUGCACAGGAAUAUCUGCACGUGUGUGUGUGUACAGUGCACAUGCCUAGUGCCUUUAGAGAGGAGAACAGUGGUUUAAGUCCCCUAGACCUGGAGCUACAGAUGGUUGUAAGCCAUCAUUUCUAAGUUGGGAACUGAACCUAGGUCCUAUGUAAAAGCAGUAAGUGCUCUUAACUACGGAAUCAUUUCUCUGGCCUCCAUUGGCGGCGGAGAGGAGGGGGUUGUUAAAAUUUUUAUGGCUACACAAAGCUCAAAACAGCCACAGCCAGCAGUGGCCAUGACCAUGUUUGAGUACAUUUUUAUUUACAAAAACCGGUAUAGCCCAGAUAGGAAGCUGUACAAGUCUGGUUGAGGCAGCUCAGCCCAAGGCCUUCAGGUGGGUUUUGAAGCAUCUGAGUUAUUACAGAGUCAGAAAGCCUCUCUGGGUAAGACCACCCCCUCCCCCACCCCUACUCUCACCCACAGCCAGAGGUUUUGCAGGCAAGGAAGUCAGGCCUCUUCCUGGCUGUGGUCUGUCUGCAUGCCCAGUCCACUAGCCAGUGGGACUCAGACUGCUUUGAUUUUAGAAUUAAUGUCUGAUUAAAAGUAGGUUAUUUCCCAAAAUAUUUUCCGUGUGGUCACCAAGAGGAGGUUAGCAGUCAUAUGAGGCUGCAUAGUAGCUCCGAUAGACCUGACUUCUCAAGUGGUCUGUUCCUGGAGCAGACCGUAAAUGAAAGAGCAGCUGGUCAUUGCCCAGAGAUGGAGCUGUGACUUGGCCUCUAGUUGCAAGUCCUGGAAGAACAGUGCUUGACAGGGUAGUGUGGCCUCACUCCUGCAGCAGCAGUCUGCCCAGCUGCAGGCUCCAGCCUCUAGGUGUGAAGCCAGAUUAGAUGGGACGAUCUGCUUGGCUUACCUUCUGCUGGCCAGGCCAUUCCGAAAGCAGUUUCUGUGCCUCCACUGCUCGCUGUGUAUGUGUGUCUGUGUGCCGUUUUCUCCAUUGCUCGCUGUGUAUGUGUGUCUGUGUGCCGUUUCCUCCACUGCUCGCUGUGUGUGUCUGUGUGCUGUUUCCUCCACUGCUCGCUGUGUCUGUGUGUCUGUGUGCCGUUUCCUCCACUGCUCGCUGUGUCUGUGUGUCUGUGUGCCGUUUCUCGGAGGGUAGGAAGGAACACGGCAUGGAUAAGGAGCAUGCCUGGCAGUUUCUGGUCUGUUGGGGAGCAGGACUAUGUCACAUGUCCUAUUCUCAGUAAUAUGGCCCUGGGGAUCACAAGCUGAGUUUAUUCCUCUUUCCACUCUCUGUACACACGGGGUCUCUGCAUGUCUCUAACACAGGCUGCUUGCUGAGCAGCACACAUGACACUCACGUCCUUCUGCAGCAGGCAGCACCCGAGCCACUGGCAUGCUCCUGCAGUACACAGUGCCAGGGGCAGAGGCUGCAGCACAGCUGAGGCUGAUGGCCGGAGAGGACGCGAGCGGCAGCAAGAGGCAGGCAGCAGCGUGGCUGGCAGCCAUGCACAAGGCUACCAAGCUCCUCUAUGAAUCACGAGACCAGUAACUGCAAGGGAACUGAACUCGGAGCACGUCGGGUUACAUAACCAAGCUGCUUGCCCCUGCCUGCACUCUCAGGGUCUUCCCUGUGUGUGCUUGGAAAUGCAAUUCAAGUGUCUGGAAGCAGAGUAUCACUUACCUAGUGCAAUAUGUACACCGCUGAUUAAUGCUGUAAAGAGCUUAUGUUGUUGUGCAUUGUGGUCCUUCAGUAGGGUUGGGAGAAGCUGCACUACAUUACUGCUAAAGCAGGCUUCUGUAAACUUCCAGGUUCAUUAGAGGCUUGUGGCUCUGUUCCCACAGAUACAUUCGGGGGUGACCACUCAGGCCCUUCCACUCUCAAUAGCCCAUUCACAAUGCCUUAGCUGUUCCUAGACUCUGGUCACUCUGUCACUAACCGGGGCGAUGAACAGUCCUGUUGCUGCCUCUAAGAGGAAGGCGUCAGCUUUCUGUUUUCUACUUUCACUUACUAUUUCACUUUAUUAAAAUGACUGUACAGUAAUUUGUAUAUAAAGUGUAUAAUUAAAACUUAUUUUGAAAGUACA